GGAGGAAAUCUUUUAUCGCCAAAAUCAGACUGAGCAAGGAAGCCAUAGCAAAAUGAAAAAGGCAAGACACCAGGAAACCUUGGCCAUAAAGGCCCUCCAAGACAGCCACUUCCUAGCCAAUUCAAUUAAUUCAUGACUACAACAGGUAUA